rnacentral:tRNA from 2 species
GGAGAGGUGGCCGAGCGGUUGAAGGCGCACGCUUGGAAAGCGUGUAUACGAGCAAUCGUAUCAAGGGUUCGAAUCCCUUUCUCUCCGCCA